UUUUCUCUCAUCCUGAAGGAGAUAGAGGGCCUCCUGAAUUUUUACUGCUCCCUCCCUUUACAUCUACAGCUCUAAUAUCUGUACAACAUGACCUGUAUUUGUCACUUUCUCUACUCCACUCCUCUUUUCAUUUAUUCUUUGAAAAGUUUAGCCCUUGCCUUCCCACCUCGGAGAUUGCACUGUGAUUAAUGAAGGCGAGCACCUGGACGCUGGGACUGAUGUGCAGGCAGAGGUCAUCGAUUUGCUUUGGGAACACUGGGCUGGUGACAGCAGAGCUGCUGGUGGAGGCAGCCAUCUGCACGCUGUUCACUUGGUGGGGAGGCUCUCUGGGACAGGUGUGAAUAUUCAGAAGGCAUCAGCAGCAGGCAGGAUGGCUGCAAGGGCGCUGGCAGUGAGCAGUGAACAGUGCCAUGCAGUGCCUGCAGCCCUGUGUGCAGCACCAGGCUGCUGGAGAGCCCAGGGAGCAGAGUCUGGGCAGCCUGCAGGUAGCAGUGCUCCCCAGGGGGUGGUACUGGGCCCAGCCUUGUUCAGUAUCUUCAUCAGUGACCUGGAUGAAGGGAUAGAGUUCACCCUCAGCAGGUUUGCUGGUGAUAUGUGGAUGGCAGGGGUGGCUGAUGUGCCAGUAUGGCCAUUCAGCAAGGCAUGGACAUGUGCGAGAGUUUGGUGGAGAGGAAUCUGAUGAGCUUCAACAAGGGCAAGGGUGGAGUCCUACACCUGGGGAGGAAUAACAACACCUCAGUACAGGUUGGGGGCUGAGCUGUUGGAAAGGAGCUCUGUGGAGAAGGACCUGGGGGUCCUGGUUGACCAAUGGUUGACAGUGAGCCAGCUAUGUGCCCUUGUGGCCAAGAAGGUCAAUGGUAUCCUGCGUGCAUUACAAAGAGUGUGGCCAGCAGGUGAGGGAGGCUCUUCUCCCCUUUGCUCUGCUCUGGUGUGGCCACAUCUGGGGCACUGGGCCCAGUUCUGAGCUCCCCAGUUCAAGGCAGGCAGGGAACUGCUGCAGAGAGUCCAUUGGAGGGCUGCAGAGAAGCCUGGAGCACCUCCUGAUGAGGAAAGGCUGAGAGCACUGGCACUGUUCAGCCUGGGGAGGAGAAGACUGAGAAAUGGGUCUUCUCAGUAUUUAUAAUAUACAAAGAGCAGGAGCCACGUGGAUGGGGCCUGGCUCUUAUCAGCACUGCCCAGCAAGAGGACAAGGGGCAACGGGCACAAACUGGAACUUUGGAUCUGUGAUUCUGUGAAAUACAGGAUGGAGAGGGGAAGGAAGGAAGAGCUGCCAUGGAUGUUCAUGUUAUUCCCACACACCAGUGCAGUGCAGCAAGGGCCUGCAGCACAGAACGCCAGCACUGCGGGUGCAUGCAUUUCCCACAGGAGCCAUUCAUUUUAGGAUAGAUCCAGCUGUGUGCCUGUUGUUUUGGCUCUGCCAAUUUGGAUUAACAAACACAUCUUGAUGGGAAGUCCCAAAGUGCCAGCAACGCCCCUUGUUCACCAGCGGGUUUCAGCAGCCUGCUGAAUGUUAACAGGCUGCUCAGACAGGCUGAGAUGUGACAGGCCAGGGAUGGCCCACUGGGGACACCACUUAUUUGCCCUGACACAUGAGCUAAUGCAAUGCAUGCCCCAUUAAUCAUAGCAGCAUCCCAAAUCAUGACUUGGUUAAAAAAAAAAAAAAAAAAGCACUGCAGGGAGGCCAGAUGGACUUUGCCAAAACUUUCCUGAAAUUUCCAGUUAAUGACAGAGCAAAAUAGCCUUUCUCAGCUCUCCAAGAGCAGCCUGACUCAGGGUAGGUACAAGGAGUGAGUGCCUGAGCCAGUGGAGGGAUCUGGCUAACGAGCUGCAGCUGGCUGGGCUAACAAACCUGCAGCUGGAGCACAGGCAAUAGGUUGGGGUUGUUGGCUCUCUUUCUUACGUGGUAUUCUGGAAGAUGAACCUGAAUGUGGGCUUAAAAGCUGGAAAUGUCCAACAGGUAAAGCUCCCCUCAACGUAAGGCUGUUAGAUCCAGGCUGGGAAUGGUUGAAAUGGUUGAAUGGUUGGUUGAAAGCUGGGCGGUCACCUGGGGAGAGCCACUGCAUGGCCUGCCUGGGCUCUUUGAAAACCCACCAUGGGUGGAGGGGGGCUGCUGGGGGCACUGAGGCUGUACUGAAAUGGGGAGCUGUGCUUGGGGCACCCUGACCAGCAGCUGCAUAAAGUAUACAUUUAUACAUAUAUAUACAUAAUAAUAUACACAAAGAGGCUUAAAAGAAGUUAAUUGACCAUGCUGAUCACUUCCAUUGAUUACACUGUAACACCGAAACAAAAGUCUGGUGCCAUUUGAGGCAGCAUAGAGCCAGCAUGAGUUCUGUUCUGCUUCAGAAUGAAGUCCAAAAGCCUUUUUUCUAGCCCUAAUGAUAACACGUUUACAUUUGAAGCUAAAAGCAGAUAGGCUUUGCACAGCUGCUGAUACAGGCAAUCAGCAAAACGUUCCCAGUUUUGAUUGUGAGGUUUGGGUUAUUUUUUUGUAACGAAGUGCUGCCUCCUGCUGGGUAAAAGGUCAGUAAUAAAGCUUGUCUUCUGUAAGCCAUUCUUCAGUGUUUUUCACUUGAACUCUGGGAAAGAGCGUGGAGACCCUCCUGGCCCAGGGUCCUGCACUGCUGUCUGUCCUAGCGAGCCCUGUGGGCUGAUGGAUAAUAGUUCUGGAGGGAGUUCCUUGCUUGCUAUCCCUUAUUCCCAUUGUGCACCCUGCUUGCGUUUGGGUCAGUUUUUUCAGCGCUGCAAGGACAGACAGCUUGUUGUUGGCAGCUCCUUUUAUUUGUAAGCACCUCGCGAUCAAUCAGAGGUGACGUCUGAUGGUUAUCUCAGUAAAACAAAGCAUCCCGCCCAUAUGUUAGCACUUUAAUUCCCCGUCCCUCGGCUGGCCGUGCUCCGCAGCACCGCACCCCCCCUGCAGUGCGGCUCCAGCCCGCUAGGUGGCGCACUGCCCCUUCGGAAAGGGGAGCACCCACUGCAAGCAAGCAGCUGCAGGUCAGGAGGGCGCACAGCAGCCCCUCCUAACACGGGCACAGCACUCGGAGGUGCUCUGGUGGCACGCAGCUCUUCCUGAGCCAUCAAUUCCGAUACGCAAAUGGACAAAGUGGUGACAGAUACGCUUGAUUUACGUGAGAUGAAGCGUCUCAGCGCUGACUGUAUCUGGCUGUAGGGGAAACACCUGGCAAAGCUGCUCACUGAUCGCACCCAGACGUUUGCAAGCUGGCGCAGUGAGUCUAUCAGAUAUUGCUCAGGCCCCGUGCAGGAUGUGGUUCUGCGGCUCCCAGCGCGGCACGGAGCCUCCCUGAGCUCACAGCACCCAGCAGCACGGCCUCGCUCUGCUGCGUGGCUGCAGCACACAGUGCUGGCGGCAAUAGGAGGGAAUCACCUCUCCUGCUGUGCAGCAAGGUGACUGCAGGGCUGAGUGCCGUGUCACAGCUGGGGCCACGUGGACCGGUAGAAAGCAAGACCAUCUUUUUCAAACUCCGGUGUGUUUUAUCAGGAAGUGCUCCGUUGGGCUCAGCCUGCAGGCACGCUGCUGUGCGCAUGGCCCAGGGUAAGGACAGCACGUGUGAUGUCAGGGUUUGCUGACUGCUAGUGUCACAGCUAGCAGCAAUAAAAGCAGGCGUUGUACUUGAAGCAGCACAUGGUGUCUUGUAUGUACUGACACAUUCCUCGGCUUCUCAGGGCUGUGUGUGCUCUGAGAGAACAGGAUAAGCCCUCACCAGACAAGCUGAUCUUUCUUUCGCUGUCCUUUAAAGCUGCGGACUCAUGAUGCAUCCACUAAAAAUAAUGCAGGCCUGUCCUUGCAGUGACAAAUAUCCUCCUGGCUGAACGAGAGCUAAAUCUGUCUUGCUGAGGUCUGCCUGUCAGGACACAGCCUGUUCUUUUCCAUCUCCCCUGCUGCUCGUUUCUGCUCACACUGCGUGUUAGUGGCUCACUGUGAUUUAUUCCAGGCUGGAGCUUUGACCCUUUGCCUUUUUGCUCGCAUGCCUGCAGCUACAGACUGGUUGGUGGUGUUAAUCUGUGAGAAGCACAUCUGCACGUGGAGGAUCAGCUCUGGAGAGGUGUGCGGUGUAAAGAACGAACUGCUCAGGUCUUCUGCUAUGGCACCAGGUGCAAGAGCCUCUCACCAAAGCACAGGGCUGUGCUGUGAGCUCAGGGCACCUCCUCCAAGCUCUAUAUCACUUUCUGCCAUUUGAUGUUAUCCCAGUUCUCCUACUUCCAGAUGGAAAUGCUAUCAGUGACAGCAAUGUUCCCAGGAUGGAGCUGAGGCAGAUGUGUGUGCCAGCACACAUGCGAAGCAUAUUGCUUUCUAAAAGCAUGGUGUGAUUACUCGGUGCAGAUAAGACCAAGACUUGUUGCUCAUUUCCCCACUCCAAGAGCUGGUAGGUGGCACUGCUGGCCCUUGGAGGGGGCUGAGUCAGAGCCAGGGUGAACAGAAACUGCUUCUUGGAGCCAAUUUGGCUCCUGUGUCUUUACUUGGAGGAUGGUGAGUACAGAGAGCAGUCAGAGCUGUAUGAGCAAACAGCAGUGGUGGUGCUGCCACCAGCCCUGCCCUUCCUCUGAAGCUGCCUGCUGCAGUUCAAAGGCUGGAAUCAAAAGGACGUUAAGCACGAUGCCCAAUCUGAAAAUGCACCAAACUGCUGCUCUCCAGCACACGAUCAGAUGGUAGGAAAGGCUCACUGACGUUUUUGUGGUACAGACUUAAAGGCAUUAAAGCUCAACACCAGCAGUGGCUUCACCAGCAAGAGACGAGGAAUGCACUGAAACCAACAAAACGAGAAUAGAAGGUAAAGAAAUGGUUACCAUGAAACAGAGAAACAUUUGUACAACGGGCUGUGCUCAUAAUCACGCCUUUGGUUUUGUACCAAGUCAUUCAUGGUACAAGUUGCAGGAUGUAACUACUGAAUUCCUCUUUUCUCCUUCAAAACUAGUAAGAGUUGAAUGUAACCACCAUUUCAAAUAACCCUUGUUUCUCUGAACUGUUAAUUUAGAGUCCAAACUUGCAGUCUCUAUAAGUCUUCUAUAGAAGCACCUACCUAAUUCUUCUUUAAGUCUUAUUCUGACAGAGUAAAGCUUUAUUUCUCCAGCCUGAGUAAACUGCAUUGCCACAGCUUUGGUGCCAAGCUCUUUCAUACCACUGCCAACCCUGUAUGUGAUCCACACUGCGAGUGUCUCUGCAGUCAGGUUCUGUAACAUAGGUUCUGUCUAUAAUUCUUACAGAUAUGUUGUUAGUUUAUCAGAUUCAAUUUGAAGAAUAGAAACUGAUCUCCUGCAAGAUCUGAUUUUUAAAAAAUCCAAAAUCUCUGAAAUGAAAAAUUAUUUGAAUGCAAUGGGUAAAUUAAUUCAGUAACAUUCCCCAUUCUCUUAAACUGAUCUAUUUCAUAUGACAGCAGAAACUUUCAGGUAUCACCUACUGUCAAAACAUUUUACUGCCUAAUAGCCUGUCAAAUUGUCUUCUUAUAUACCGACCUCAUUCUCAAAGGAAAUCAGAUGUUUCUGCCAUCACAGAUUCUCGUUUUUCCAAACAAAUCCCUUCUGUGAAGGUAUCUGCAUGUUGCAAUUUGCAGCUAUUUGCCAAAAGCCUGCUCUUGUAUUUCCUCCAGUGAAACAUUUGCUGACAAACCUGUAAAAUCCUCAGGGGAUGUUCAGGACGGAGGUGGUUCGCUUACCCACCAGGAUGGAGGUUUCUGGAUACCCUACAGCUCUUCUCCCAUGAGGUUUAUUGGAGAACUGGUGUUACCUUCAUUCCAGCUUUGCCCAUCCUCUGCCAAUGCAGUUCACUGCUCAGCUUUGGAGACUGUACCUGCAAUCAGAAGAAGGAAAAAUGCAACAGCAUUGCAAGGUGCUGCAAUGGUGUGAACACCAAAGGAGUGCAGGACAGAUACCACAGAUCUGGGAGAUGCCAUACAGUGCUGCACCAUCCCAGGGCUAUUUGCUUUGCUCAGGUGAGUUGGAGACUCGUACUGCCCCAAAGCCAUGGUCAGCAAUGGGGCUGGUGGGGGCCCUGACAGUGCCUCCUGGCAGCCCUGUGCGUGGCACUGAUGUUGCAAAUACUCUAUGUGAUUUCAGCCUGUUGCAUGAACUCUUGAAACCAAAGAACAUUUUAGUGUUCACUUUGAUGCCAGUAGUUACGUGCACAUAGUCAACUGAAAGAGCUCCCAAAUAUGACUUCAGGCUGAAGGGCACAUUAGACUCAUUAAUGUACUCACAUCCACGAUUCAGCCAGCAGUUACUGAUUGCCAUCAUUUUCCAGCAACACGCUGGUUCCUGGCGAAAAGCAUGAACUUAUUAACUGCUGUGCUGAUGGGUUUUAGUUGCCCACAGUGCGUACCUGGGUAUGAUUCUGGGUAGGUGACAACACGGGCUCUACCUCCUGUGGAUGGUGUUACAAAAUAAAGCGUUAAAGGUUUAACAGAAGUUAGGAAGAAAUUCUUCACUCAGAGAGCGGUGAGGCCAGAGAGCAGUGGGUGCUCCAUCCCUGGGGGUGCUCAGAGUCAGGCUGGAUGGGGCCUUUGGCUGCCAGCCCAUGGCAAGGGGGUUGGAGCUUGAUUAUCUUUAAGGUGUCUUCCAACCUACGACAUUCUAUGAUUUACUAAUGUAGCUCUACUGUACCAUCCUGGAGACAUCAGGUACCAUCAGCAGGUGCUGCAAACUGCUCCUUUUUUUAAAACAAACAAAAGUAUGCCACCAUUAAACUCUGUGGCUCUGCUAAGACUUUCAAUUGCAUAACAGCUAUGGGGACAACACAUUGCUCAACUUUACUGAAUUGAAAAAUAUACACCCCAAUGAGAACUGAUACAAACAUGAGAUUUCUUUACCCAGCUCCCCUUUAUUAUUUCUUUAAUCUGAAGUACUUUCAGUGACCUGUAAAUUGCUUUUGCCAUUGCAGAGAUGCUGAGCACGAGCACUGUGUGCUCACUGGCUGUGCAAUGCACCAAAGAGGGCUGUUGGAGGUUUCUGAAAGAAAACCUCCAGGUUGGUGGUGGGCUUCUUAAAUCUAUGUAAAAUUGUCUCUAAAAUCUCAGUGACUGCGCAAUAUGCGGCUCGGGGGAAGGAAGUUGUGAAAGGGCCAGGAAAUAGGGUGGGAACAGAACUCUUCCAGCUAACCAAAGCCCUGCUGAACCACAGACUGCAGCACCACCCAGCACUGGGAAAAAAGGGAAAGGCAAUUAAAUCCUUCUGAAAAGGCACUGUUUCAGUGAUAGUUACAGACUGGCUCUCAAACCCCAAAUACAAACAGAAGGAAAGACCGACAAACAAGCACUGUGAACUGUGGACUCUGAAAGCCUUAUUUGUAAAGCCUCACCCUGACCGUGACACAGAACCCAGUGCCUCACCCAGCUGCUCCACACCUCCUUUGCUGCCCUUGCUGGUGCCCAGGCCUCCUGCACCUCCAGCUCAUUGACACAGCCCUCCUGCCACAGCCUGGCAACACCGCCCCGAUCAAACCGAUUGAUCAGCAUCUUGGAUUUGUACCUCCCCACAAAUGCUCCUUCCUAGCUGUCUCGGCACACGGAGCCCUGGCAGCAAGGACUGCUGGCUCUUUGCUCAGUUAAGGGUGAUGCUACAGUUCAGCCCUGCUCCUCAGAGCCUGGGCGCACUGUGAGCCCUCAGGUUUGCUCCUCCUCAGCAACGAAUGGAAAACAACAACCUUCCAGUGCUGGGCACGCCGGGCUGACAGGGCCCACACACAGCACGACCCGCUGGCGCUGCUGUGGGCCUGCCUUGCUGAAGGCCUCCCUGCUGGAGCACUGUUCUCCUGCUGCUCGCCCCAGGGCCGUUGGGUGAGGUGCGGGGCGGCGGCUCAGAGCUGCUGCCAUGGGAGAGGGCUCCACGCCCUGAGGGAACCCGGCCUCACUGCCUCCUCCUGACCGGUCCCCUGCCCGCAGGACGAGGAGCCGUGUCCCCACACAAAGCCCCCGGCUCCGCCUUCUGCACCUGAGCGCCCUCCUCCUGCCCUCACAGCCCGGGGAAACCGCGGCUAAGGGGACGCGGCGACGUCGCAGAGCCCCGGGGCGACCUGCGAGGCCACGCGGGGACACGGCUCCCCCGCACAACAUGGCGGACGGCUGACGACAACCGGGCGGUGUCAAUCAAGCCGAGGGAGCCAAUCAGAUCCCGGAGCUGCCCGCCGGGGCGGGGCUGGCCCGCCAGCUGCGGGUCGGUAGUCCCGGCCGCGUCGCGCAGCGAUACGGGCGCGGUGCGGCCGUUCCGAGAAGUGAUGCAAGAGGGCGGAAUUUCCCCAGCGCUGCGAUUGCGACAGAGCCGCGUCGUGUCCUUCCCCGGCGGGGCAGAGGGGCUCAGCCGCUGUGCCUGCGGAGCUCUGCCGAGGUGGAGCGGCGGUUGUAAAUAACGCCCGCUGCCGUGUCGGCGCUCUCCGUCCGCCGCACCGAAGCGCUCCGCUUUAUGGGACAACACCCGAAGGAGAGAACGCACGCGUCGACGCGGAGCCGCGAUUUCACGUCUCGGAGCGAUUCUUCCCAGCCGUUCAGAACGACUUAAAGAGGGCAGGCACUGAGCGCGAACCGCAGCGUCGCGGGAUCUGAGCGGCUGGAUACCGCCCGGCUCCGCGGCUCCGGCCGGCCGGCCGCCCCGUAACGCCCGCAGCAGCGCAGG
ensembl:lncRNA